rnacentral:rRNA from 1 species
UACAGAGGUGCCAAGCGUUAGGCGGAAUUACUGGGCGUAAGGCGCGCGUAGGCGGACCUGCAAGUCGAGGGUGAAAGCCCGAGGCUCAACCUCGGAACUGCCUUCGAUACUGCGGGUCUCGAGUCCGGGAGAGGUGAGUGGAAUUCCUAGUGUAGAGGUGAAAUUCGUAGAUAUUCGCAAGAACACCAGUGGCGAAGGCGGCUUACUGGUCCGGUUCUGACGCUGAGGCGCGAAAGCGUGGGGAGCAAACAGG